rnacentral:rRNA from 1 species
ACGGGUGGCAGCAGUAGGGAAUAUUAGAAAUGGGCGAAAGCCUGAUCUAGCAACACCGCGUGUGCGAUGAAGGCCUUCGGGUUGUAAAGCACUUUUUGGAGGGAAUAGGAAGGAAGGUACCUCCAGAAUAAGUCUCGGCUAACUACGUGCCAGCAGCCGCGGUAACACGUAGGAGGCAAACGUUAUCCGGAUUCACUGGGCGUAAGGCGCGUGUAGGUGGUUCUGUAAGUAGGGCGUGAAAGCUCCCGGCUCAACUGGGAGAGGCCGUACUAAACUGCAGAGCUAGAGGAUGGUAGAGGGAGGUGGAAUUCCAGGUGUAGUGGUGAAAUGCGCAGAUAUCUGGAGGAACACCAGUGGCGAAGGCGGCCUCCUGGACCAUUCCUGACACUCAGACGCGAAAGCUAGGGUAGCAAACGGAAUUAGAGACUCCGGUAGUCCUAGCCCUAAACGAUGCAGACUAGGCGUCGGCGGUGUAAUCACCGUCGGUGUCCAAGCUAACGCGAUAAGUCUGCCGCCUGAGGACUACGGCCGCAAGGCUAAAACUCAAAGGAAUAGACGGGUCCCCGCACAAGCAGCGGAGCGUGUGGUUUAAUUCGAUGCUCCGCGAAGAACCUUACCUGGGUUUGACAUAACAGUGGUAGAGAAGUGAAAACGGAUCGACCCUUCGGGGAGCUGUUACAGGUGUUGCAUGCCUGUCGUCAGCUCGUGUCGUGAGAUGUUCGGUUAAGUCCGCUAACGAGCGCAACCCGCGCUGUGUGUUACAAGUGUCACACAGUACCGCCGGUAUUAAGUCGGAGGAAGGUGCGGAUGACGUCAAGUCAGCAUGACCUUUAUAUCCAGGGCUACACACACGCUACAAUGGUCAGAACAAUAGGUUGCCAAGCCGCAAGGCGGAGCCAAUCCUCCAAAUCUGGCCUCAGUUCAGAUUGCAGGCUGCAACUCGCCUGCAUGAAGUCGGAGUUGCUAGUAACCGCAGGUCAGCAUACUGCGGUGAAUAAGUUCCCGGGGAUUGCACACACCGCCCGUCAA